ensembl:lncRNA
GUUUCUCUCCCUCUCUCUCCCCUUAAAUUCCCUUGCUUGCCUACCUUCUGCCUUGGGAUAACACAGUAAGAAGACCCUCAUCAGAUGCUGGACUCUCAAUCUUGGGCUUUCAGCCUUCACAACUUGGAUUGUAUUAUUUGAAUUGUUACUUUUGAAAAAGAAAGGAAAACAAGCCUGCUCAUUUCUCUGACUCCCUGCCUAUCACAUAUCUCAUUGGUUUCCUUGGGAACCAGGAGCUUCCCACCCUCAGAGGACACAGUCUGAGUUGGAUUUUUGUCAACUGAAGCUGAAAGAAUCCUCACCACCACAUUCCAGUGGGCAUCUAAUUGUUAGAGAGGUUUGUGGCCACCCAAAAUUCAUGUCUACCUCAAGUUCCCAAGGAUGAAUGUAACUGUAUUGUAUACCUAAAAUGUACCGA